UACAGAGGGGGCAAGCGUUAUUCGGAAUUAUUGGGCGUAAAGGGCUCGUAGGCGGUUCGUCACGUCGGGAGUGAAAACUCGGAGCUCAACUCCGAGCCUGCUUCCGAUACGGGCAGACUAGAGGUAGGCAGGGGAGAGCGGAACUCCUGGUGUAGCGGUGGAAUGUGCAGAUAUCAGGAAGAACACCGGUGGCGAAGGCGGCUCUCUGGGCCUUACCUGACGCUGAGGAGCGAAAGCGUGGGGAGCGAACAGG
rnacentral:rRNA from 1 species